GGCUUUAUAGUGUAGUGGUUAUCACCGUGGGUUUUGAUCCCAUUAACCCGAGUUCGAAUCUCGGUAAAGCCU
rnacentral:tRNA from 1 species